rnacentral:lncRNA from 1 species
CUCCUCUGUUAGAACUACAGCCAAACAAUGCGCAGGCAAUCCACAGCAGCUGCCCCUGCAAAUGUCAGCGCCAGCCCAGUCAAAAGAGCUUGAAACCUACCAAGCCGGAGGACUGUGCUGUGCCUCUCUCGCCCACAUUUUCCCCAAGCACUCUCAGGAACCUGGCAACAGUGUCCCCUUGUGGCCAAGCCUGGAACAUCACAUCUGUACGUUGCAAUCUGUGGAUCAGCUACGAGAUGGAUAUCUGAGAGCCAGCGAACUUUCUUUACCUCCUAGUAUCAUUUCAUGAAAAUUAGUAGCACCUGCACAAUGGGGCCUUGGAGACAGGAAUAAAAGGAAAAAUCUGGAAUGGAAUCACAUGACGCAACAGGCUAUGAAGACUCCCUGCCCGGCUGCUAUAUGUCUGGUAAACAGAAUAAAUAGUACUUGAGCAUCCCUGACUCUGAG